rnacentral:rRNA from 1 species
AGUCUUAACUGGGCGUUAAGUUGCAGGGUAUAGACCCGAAACCCGGUGAUCUAGCCAUGGGCAGGUUGAAGGUUGGGUAACACUAACUGGAGGACCGAACCGACUAAUGUUGAAAAAUUAGCGGAUGACUUGUGGCUGGGGGUGAAAGGCCAAUCAAACCGGGAGAUAGCUGGUUCUCCCCGAAAGCUAUUUAGGUAGCGCCUCGUGAAUUCAUCUCCGGGGGUAGAGCACUGUUUCGGCAAGGGGGUCAUCCCGACUUACCAACCCGAUGCAAACUGCGAAUACCGGAGAAUGUUAUCACGGGAGACACACGGCGGGUGCUAACGUCCGUCGUGAAGAGGGAAACAACCCAGACCGCCAGCUAAGGUCCCAAAGUCAUGGUUAAGUGGGAAACGAUGUGGGAAGGCCCAGACAGCCAGGAUGUUGGCUUAGAAGCAGCCAUCAUUUAAAGAAAGCGUAAUAGCUCACUGGUCGAGUCGGCCUGCGCGGAAGAUGUAACGGGGCUAAACCAUGCACCGAAGCUGCGGCAGCGACGCUUAUGCGUUGUUGGGUAGGGGAGCGUUCUGUAAGCC